CUGAAACGUAUCCGCUUGAGAUCAUUUCCUCCGCGCGGGAGAGAAACGAAAGUUAUCAGAACACCGGGCUCCACCUGGGCCACCCACUCCUUGGGUUCGUUCUCUUCGACGAACACCACGGGCGGGUCGACCCGGCGCCCACUGCCAUUCAUUGAGUUUGGCGUCCCUUCGCCGCUCGAGCUCGAUAUCCCCUUCAGCCUGGCCUCCAUCUCCUUCCCCCAUGUUCUAGUCGUCGUCGAGCUCGAGCUUCCGGUCCGGCGUAACGACCACCGGAAUCGCUCUGACUCUGCGUCAGACUCGUUCCAGUUGCUCCUGAAACGGCCCUGAGUUGUUGGCACCGUGCAUGGAUUGCAGUGCCGGUAUGCUCCGGAGGCCUUUAAUGCCAUGUCCCUAAGCUGAGUAGUGAGGGAUUUGAUCGCUUGGUGGUGUUUGGUAUUAUGAAUGCUCGUGGUGCCAGACUCAUCGGCUUGACUCAACGAGUCAUCGCCGGGUUGCUUCGUUCGAGGUAUACACGUCAGCAUUUUUCAAUUAUGAAUCAGUUUGGCUUGAGAGUCGCACCGCUAAAAACGAGAUGCUCCUAAAACGCAGUGGCCAUGCAGUGCUUGAAUGCCCGCUUCAGGUAACGCGAUCAGAGAUUCUCUGCUCUCAAAUUUG
rnacentral:misc_RNA from 1 species